GUCAUCUUGGCUCACUGCAACCUCCACCUCCUGGGUUCACGUUGAUUCUCUUGCCUCAGCCUCCCUAGUAGCUGGGAUUACAGGCCCAUGCCACCACACCCAGCCAAUGUUUGUAUUUUUAGUAGAGGUGGGGUUUCACCAUGUUACCCAGGCUUCUCUCAAACUCCUGACCUCAAAUGAUCCGCCCGCCUCGGCCUCCCAAAGUGCUGGGAUUACAGACUUGAGCCACUGCACCUGGCCCCUCUUUUUGCACUUUUUAAAUCAAAACAGACAUCCCAUCAUCUAGACUUUUCACAGUUGUCAGGUUUUUUUUAGGUUUAAUUUACGUACAGCAAAAUGCACAGAUCCUAAGUGAACAACCCAAUGAUUUUUUAUAUGUGACAACACUGGUAUAACCACCACCCAAAUUGAAAUAUAGAACAUUUCAGUCACCCCAGUAAGUUCACAGAUUCUGAUCAGAGGCACGCAGAGGGCAGGUGAUGUGUGGCGAUAUUUGGCCCAGAUAAAAUGGCUCAUGAAUAGCAAGAGUUGGGUAAUCACUGAUGCGGGAGCCUCGGGUCAGUGGCUCCAGUUCUCUGCUUCCCUUUAUAGCAAAAUUUCUCAAAAAAAUAAUCUCUACCAGCGCUGUCCAAUAGAAAUACAAAGCAAGCUACAUAGGUGAUUUUACAUUUUCUGGAAACCAAGAUAAAAAAGUUAAAAAGAAACAAGUGAAAUUAAUUUUAAUAUAUUUUAUUUAACCCAUAUAUCUAAAAUAUCAUUUUAAUAUGUGAUCAGUAUAAAAAUACUGAGGUAUUUUGUAUUUUUUCAUAUUAAAUCUGAGUGAUUCCUACUUGGACCUUUAAUCUGUGGGGUGUUUUGUUUUAUUUAUUCUUUUUUUGGAGACAGAGUCUCACUCUGUUGCCCAGGCUGGAGUGCAGUGGUACAAUAAUAGUUCACUGCAGCCUCAAACUCCUGGGCUCAACAAUUCUCCCACCUCAGCCUCCCAGGUAGCUGGGACUGCAGGUGUGUGUCACCACGCCUGGCUAAUUUUUUUUGAAUUUUUAUUUGUAGAGGCAGAGUCGAGCUAUGUUGCCCAGGCUAGUCUUGAGCUCCUAUCCUCAAGUGAUCCUCCCUCCUUGGCUUCCCAAGAAUGCUGGGAUUGCAGGCAUGAGCCACCAUGCCCCAGCCUAAAUCCAGUGUUUAUUUUAUACUUAAAGUACAUCUCAGUUUGUACCAGCUACAUUUCAAGUGUUCGUUAGCCACAUAUGUCUAGGGGCCACCCUAUUGCACAGCCAAAUCUAUACUCACCAGCUCUGAUUCCUCUUCUCCCAUUUCUCCCACUCAAAUCAGACUUUGGCCUUCACUACACCUGAUUUCUCUUUGCCAAGGUCAUCAGUGGCUUCCAUGGUCACUUCCAUGGUCAGUUCUAAACUGACUUGUCCCAUCAGCAGCAUUUAGCAGAGCAGAUCACCCCUUUCUUCUAGAAACACUCUUCAUUGGCUUCUGGGAUUCUUCUUUGAAGGAGUUUUCCUGUUACUUCACUGCCUGCUACUUCUCAGCCUCCUUUGCUGGUUCCUCAUCUUUCCUCAAAACUUUUUUUUUUUUUUUUUUUUCAGACAGUCUUGCUCUGUCGCCCAGGCUGGAGUGCAGUGGUGUGAUUUUGGCUCACUGCAAGCUCCGCCUCCCAGGUUCAAGUGAUUCUCCUGCCUCAGCCUCCUGAGUAGCUGGGAUUACAAGCGUGCACCACCAUGCCUGGCUAAUUUUUGUAUUUUUAGUCUAGAGACAGGAUUUCGUCAUGUUGGCCAGGCUGGUCUUGAACUCCUGGCCUCAAGUGAUCCACCUGCCUUGGCCUCCCAAAGUGCUGGGAUUACAGGCGUGAGCCACUGCACCCGGCCUUCUUCUAAACUUUAAAUGUAGGGUUUCCAGGGGAUCAGUCCCUGGACUUUACUCUUCCUAUAUUCUUCCUUAGUAAUCUAACUAGUCUUUUGACUUUAAAGACCGACCGUCUAAAUGGUGACAACUACCAGCCAAACCAGCUGUCCAGACCUCUCCCCUGAACUCAGGGGACUCUCUCCUGAACUAGGACCUGUACAGCCAUGUGCCUACUCAACUUCCUCACUUGGACCUUUCAUAGGCACCUCACACUCAACAUUCAAACCUAAACUCUUAAUAUUCCCCCAACCCCCAAAGCUGCUAAGUGGCAACUCCAUCCUCCCAUCCUCCAUCCUUGGGCCAAAAACUCAGGAGUCAUUCUUGACUUCUCUCCAAUCCCUACACCCUGUCUAUCAGCAAAUGGCUUCCGCCCUAAGAAUGUAUCUAGAGUUUGACCAUUUCUCAGAGUGAUUUUCAGCAUAGGUCACAGCAUGUCAUUCUUCUGCUUAAACUCCACCAUGGCUUUCAUCUCACCAAGUUUGGGAUCCAAAUCCUUACUGUGACCUUGUUAAAGAACAUUUAUGGGAGGCCGCUGUUUUGAACUGAGCUCUUGCACUAGGCGGGCCCCAACAAACCAGACCCAACCAGAAUAGAGUCACCCAUGACAUACUAAGUGCCAUGUCAUCAAACAGAACUUUAAAAUGGUCCAGUUUUCUGAAAUAUGAGAUUCACAGCAGCCAAUCAGAAGGGGUCCAGUUGGGACAGGCACAGUGGCUCACGCCUGUAAUCCCAGCACUUUGGGAGGCUGAGGCGGGUGGAUCACCUGAGGUCAGGAGUACGAGACCAGGCUGGCCAACAUGGUGAAACCCUGUCUCGACUAAAAAUACAAAAAUUAGCCAGGCGUGGUGGCAGAUGUCUGUAAUCCCAGCUACUCGGGAGGCUGAGGCAGGAGAAUUACUUGAACCCAGGAGGCAGAGGUUGCAGUGAGCUGAGAUCAUGCCACCACACUCCAGCCUGGGUGACAAAGCAAGACUCUGUCUCAAAAAAAAAAAAAAAAAAAAAAAAAGGAAGGGGUCCAGUCUACUUUAGCUUGCAUAAUCAGGAAGUCCCCUCUGCUUUAACCCCAGAAGGAAGGUAACUUUGAAAUGACCAAUCUGCUUUUCGUGCCCUGUUUCUGCUUCUUUAGCCCCUUUUUGCCUGUAAGGCCCACUCCCACUCAGCUUAUCAGAGUCCCCCUCAGGAUGCUGCCCAGUUCAUGAACUGCUAACAAAAGCCAAUUCAAUCUUUAAAACUCUAUUUGGGUUGGGGGUGGUGGCUCACACCUGUAAUCCCAGCACUUUGGGAGUCUGAGGCAGGUGGAUCACCUGAGGUCAGGAGUUCAAGACCAGCCUGGCCAACCUGGCGUAAACCUGUCUCUACUUAAAAAAAUACAAAAAUUAGCUGG
rnacentral:lncRNA from 10 species